AAGACACAACAACUCAUAACAACAUCCAUUUGAGAAUAUUGUUUAGUUAUUUGUUUUUGUAUUAUAUUUGUAGUUAUUGACUUUCUUUUCAGUGCCAACAAAUGCCGCUGACGCCCCUUCUGUUAUGUCGGGUGAAGUUGCUUACAACCAUUUUGUCUUCAAAUAUGAUUUCAAGGAUUGGAAGUAUUCGUGAGAAAUAAAUCUGUUCAGCAUUCACUUGGACUUGGGAAGUCCUCAAUUAGUUGGAGAGGAGUUGAUGCCCCAUGGGGAUUUUUCGAACAUUGGCAGUUGACACUGAGCCAUUGACACUGAGCUGCAGGGAAGUCAUGACUCUGGUAAUUUUCAGGUUAAUCUUGGCAUUUAUCAUUUUUAAAUACUAUGCUCAUUAGUGACCUCCUAAUUACAAUGCCAUU